AGUCCACGUUUGUAAGAAAUGUUUGAUUCAAGAGGGUUAGCUAUUUUCCCCCUCUUGAAUCAAACAUUUCUUACAAACGUGAACU
rfam:Musca domestica strain aabys unplaced genomic scaffold Scaffold19683, whole genome shotgun sequence.